UUUAGUACGUAGACAUAACUCUACUGUGAGGGUUAUGAAUCGUGCAUGCCAUCUAAGGUACGGUAGGUGGUAUGUUUAAAAGAUUU
rfam:Drosophila simulans chromosome 4, whole genome shotgun sequence.